rnacentral:rRNA from 1 species
AGAGUUUGAUCCUGGCUCAGAGUGAACGCUGGCGGCGUGCUUAACACAUGCAAGUCGAACGAGAACGGAUUAUAGCUUGCUAUAAUUGUCAGCUAAGUGGCGCACGGGUGAGUAAUAUAUAGAUAACCUGCCCUCAAGAAAGGAAUAACAGUUGGAAACGACUGCUAAUGCCCUAUAUGCCUUUAAUACAUAAGUAUGCAAGGGAAACGCUUUAGUGCUUGAGGAUGGGUCUGUAUGGUAUCAGCUUGUUGGCGAGGUAAUGGCUCACCAAGGCUAUGACGCCUAACUGGUUUGAGAGGAUGAUCAGUCACACUGGAACUGAGACACGGUCCAGACUCCUACGGGAGGCAGCAGUGGGGAAUAUUGCACAAUGGACGAAAGUCUGAUGCAGCAACGCCGCGUGGAGGAUGACACAUUUCGGUGCGUAAACUCCUUUUAUAUAGGAAGAUAAUGACGGUACUAUAUGAAUAAGCACCGGCUAACUCCGUGCCAGCAGCCGCGGUAAUACGGAGGGUGCAAGCGUUACUCGGAAUCACUGGGCGUAAAGAGCGUGUAGGCGGGUAUAUAAGUCAGAAGUGAAAUCCAAUAGCUUAACUAUUGAACUGCUUUUGAAACUGUAUACCUAGAAUGUGGGAGAGGUAGAUGGAAUUUCUGGUGUAGGGGUAAAAUCCGUAGAGAUCAGAAGGAAUACCGAUUGCGAAGGCGAUCUACUGGAACAUUAUUGACGCUGAGACGCGAAAGCGUGGGGAGCAAACAGGAUUAGAUACCCGGGUAGUCCACGCCCUAAACGAUGCACACUAGUUGUUGUGAGGCUCGACCUUGCAGUAAUGCAGU